rnacentral:rRNA from 1 species
UACGGGGGGUGCGAGCGUUGUCCGGAAUCACUGGGCGUAAAGGGCGCGUAGGUGGCUUGGUAAGCGUGUGGUGAAAGCCCGGGGCUCAACCCCGGGUCUGCCAUGCGAACUGCUAUGGCUUGAGCACUGUAGAGGCAGGUAGAAUUCCGGGUGUAGCGGUGGAAUGCGUAGAUAUCAGGAGGAACACCCGUGGCGAAGGCGGCUCUCUGGGUCGGCCCUGACGCUGAGGCGCGAAAGCGUGGGGAGCAAACAGG